GACGAACGCUGGCGGCGUGCUUAACACAUGCAAGUCGAACGGAAAGGCCCUGCUUUUGUGGGGUGCUCGAGUGGCGAACGGGUGAGUAACACGUGAGUAACCUGCCCUUGACUUUGGGAUAACUUCAGGAAACUGGGGCUAAUACCGGAUAGGAGCUCCUGCUGCAUGGUGGGGGUUGGAAAGUUUCGGCGGUUGGGGAUGGACUCGCGGCUUAUCAGCUUGUUGGUGGGGUAGUGGCUUACCAAGGCUUGGACGGGUAGCCGGCCUGAGAGGGUGACCGGCCACAUUGGGACUGAGGUACGGCCCAGACGCCUACGGGAGGCAGCAGUGGGGAAUAGUGCACAAUGGGCGGAAGCCUGAUGCAGCAACGCCGCGUGCGGGAUGACGGCCUUCGGGUUGUAAACCGCUUUCGCCUGUGACGAAGCGUGAGUGACGGUAAUGGGGAAAGAAACACCGGCUAACUACGU
rnacentral:rRNA from 1 species